rnacentral:rRNA from 1 species
CCUACGGGUGGCAGCAGUGAGGAAUAUUGCACAAUGGGCGCGACCCUGAUCCAGCGAAGCAGCGUGAAUGAUGACUGCCCUACGUGUUGUAAGCUUCUUUUAUAAAGGAAUAAAGUGAGGCACGUGUGCCUUUUUGUCUGUACUUUAUGAAUCAGGAUCGGCUAAUUCCGUGCCAGCAGCCGCGGUAAUACGGAGGUUCCGAGCGUUAUCCGGAUUUAUUGGGUUUAAAGGGAGCGUAGAUGGGUGUGUAAGUCUGUAGUGAAAGGUUGCGGCUCAACCGUACAAUUGCAAUUGAUACUGGACGGCUUGAGUGCAGGUGAGGUAAGUGGAAUUCGUGGUGUAGCGGUGAAAUGCGUAGAUAUCACGAAGUACUCCGAUUGCGAAGGCAGCUUACUAGACUGCCACUGACAUUGAUGCUCGAAAGUGUGGGGAUCAAACAGGAUUAGAUACCCCAGUAGUC